UUAACCAUUUUUUAAAUUAUAAUAAUAUUUAAUAAUUAAUUUUAAAUUUUUUUUUAAAAACUAAAAUAAAAUUUUUUAAAACUGUAAAGGAUAAAUAUUUUUUAAUUAAAAGUAAGUCUUUGUACCUUUAGCAUAAGGGAUUUUUUAAAAAAAAUAAAAUUUUAUUUUUUUCGAAAUCAACUGAUCUAUUAAGUUUUUAUAAAAUAUUAUAUAUUACAAAAUAUAGUAUAAAAACUUAAUAGAAGUGAAAUUCUUUUCAAAGUUGAAGAUAUCUAAUUUUAACUAAAAAUCUAAAAGUAAGCUUAUAAACAUAUUCUAACUAUUUUAUAUAAUUAUAAGCAAAUAUUUAAGGGAUAAGCUUUAAAUAUUUUUUAUUUAAAUUUAAUAUUAAAUUUAAAUAAGAAAUAGAAUUUUUCUUAUACUGUUAUAAGUAAUUAUUUUUUUUUUAAAAAUAAAAUAAUUUUUUAUUUAAUUCAUAUAAUUAAAUAUGUAUAUAAAAAUGAAAAUAUUAGUAAAAUAAUUUAUUUCAAUAUAUAAUUUAGUAUAAAAAAUUAUUUUAUAAAUAAAUUUAAAUAAUUCGGCAAAUAAUUUUUUUGACUGUUUAUUAAAAACAAUGUAUUUAGAGUCUAAUAAUUAAAUAUUAAUCCUGCUCAAUGAAUAUAUUAAAUUGCUGUAGUAUUUUGACUAUACAAAGGUAUUGUAAUAAGACUUUAAUUGAGUGCUAAGAGAAUGGACUUUCAAAAAAAUUCUUUUUUAAAUUUAAAAAUUAAAGUUAUUUUUAUUUGUGAAGAAACAAUAAUGAAAAUUAUAGACAAGAAGACCCUAUGAAUUUUAACUAAAUUAAACUAAAGCUUUAGUUUAAUUUAGUUUAAUUGGGGCGAUUAAAAAAAAUAAUAAACUUUUUAUAAAAUAAAAUGAUCCAUAAAUUAUGAUUAAAUGUAAUAAAUACUCUAGGGAUAACAGCGUAAUAAUUUUAGAUAGAUCUUAUAGAAAAAAUAGUUUGCGACCUCGAUGUUGGAUUAGGAUACUUUUUUAAUGAAGAAGUUAAAAUAAGAAGUUUGUUCAACUUUUAAAAUCCUACAUGAUCUGAGUUUAGACCGAUGUGAAUCAGGUUGGUUUCUAUCUUAAUUUAAAAAUUAAAUUUUAAUUAGUACGAAAGGAAUUUUAAAAUAAAAAUUUUUUAUUAAUUUUAACAGUUUUUGCAUCAAUUUUUGGAAUU
rnacentral:rRNA from 1 species